AUGCCAUUGCUGUAUCUGUGCUAAGUGUGCCGCAGAGUGGUAGUGUGUGAAGUUCGGGAGGCCCAGGCCUCCAUAUUUCUUGGGCACGUAUAGUGUGCACCUGCGUACCCUUGGUUUGCGUCCGUUCCAUAUGAAUGUAUCGAUUGCCGAUUGCAGGGCUUUGAAAUCCGGUUUGUGGAGCGGUAUUGGGAGGGUCUGGAAGAGGUAUAGGAAUCUAGGGAGGAGGUUCAUUUUAAUGGAGGCGAUAGGUCCCAGCCACGAGAUUCCUAAGAGUUUCCAUUUGGUCAGGUCUUCGUGUGCUUUAAGUAAUAGUGGGGUACAAUUCUUGGCAUUUAGGGAUGAGGUAUCUGCUGAGAGUUGAAUCCCCAGGUAUGUUAUUGUCGUGUGGCGUAUCCUCAGCGGGAAAGUUUGUUGUAUCCUAGCUAGGCUCUGG